UACAAUGCGAGAAAUCGUGAUAAGGGAACCCCGAGUGCCCGUAAAUUCGGGCUGUCCGCCAGUGUAAAUAACUGGUGAAGAAAGGGCCGGGCAAGACCGGUGCCAGCCGCCGCGGUAAUACCGGCGGCUCGAGUGGUGGCCACUAUUACUGGGCUUAAAGCGUCCGUAGCUGGAUUGUUAAGUCUCUUGGGAAAUCCACCGGCUCAACCGAUGGGCGUUCAGGAGAAACUGGCAAUCUAGGGACCGGGAGAGGUGAGAGGUACUCCAGGGGUAGGAGUGAAAUCCUGUAAUCCUUGGGGGACCACCUGUGGCGAAGGCGUCUCACUAGAACGGCUCCGACAGUGAGGGACGAAAGCUGGGGGAGCAAACCGGAUUAGAUACCCGGGUAGUCCCAGCUGUAAACGAUGCGCGUUAGGUGUAUCGGUGACCACGAGUCAUCGAGGUGCCGA
rnacentral:rRNA from 1 species